rnacentral:rRNA from 1 species
UACGUAGGGGGCUAGCGUUGUCCGGAUUUAUUGGGCGUAAAGAGCGUGUAGGCGGCCAAGUAGGUCCGGUGUGAAAACUCGAGGCUUAACCUCGAGAUGUCAUCGGAAACCAUUUGGCUAGAGUCCGGAAGAGGAAAGUGGAAUUCCCGGUGUAGUGGGUGAAAUGCGUAGAUAUCGGGAGGAACACCAGUGGCGAAGGCGACUUCCUGGCCUGAUUCUUGACGCUGGAGGCGCGAAAGCUAGGGGAGCAAACGGG